rnacentral:piRNA from 1 species
UGAUGAUUGAUGACCUCCUGACUCCA